rnacentral:rRNA from 1 species
GAUGAACGCUGACAGAAUGCUUAACACAUGCAAGUCUUUGGCGAAGCUGUGCUUGCACAGCCUAGCCAAGGCGGACGGGUGAGUAACGCGUAAGGAACUUGCCCUGCAGUCAGGGAUAACAGACGGAAACGACUGAUAAGACCUGGUAAAGUCAGGCGGACUCAUGUCCAGCCUGAUGAAAAGAGAUGCUGCAGGAGAGCCUUGCGUCCUAUUAGCUUGUUGGUGGGGUAACGGCCCACCAAGGCAAUGAUAGGUAGCCGGCCUGAGAGGGUGGACGGCCACAAGGGGACUGAGAUACGGCCCUUACUCCUACGGGAGGCAGCAGUGGGGAAUAUUGGACAAUGGGGGCAACCCUGAUCCAGCAAUUCUGUGUGCACGAUGAAGGUUUUCGGAUUGUAAAGUGCUUUCAGCAGGGAAGAAAAAAAUGACGGUACCUGCAGAAGAAGCGACGGCUAAAUACGUGCCAGCAGCCGCGGUAAUACGUAUGUCGCAAGCGUUAUCCGGAAUUAUUGGGCAUAAAGGGCAUCUAGGCGGCCAGAUAAGUCUGGGGUGAAAACUUGCGGCUCAACCGCAAGCCUGCCCUGGAAACUAUGUGGCUAGAGUACUGGAGAGGUGGACGGAACUGCACGAGUAGAGGUGAAAUUCGUGGAUAUGUGCAGGAAUGCCGAUGAUGAAGAUAGUUCACUGGACGGUAACUGACGCUGAAGUGCGAAAGCUAGGGGAGCAAACAGG